rnacentral:misc_RNA from 1 species
UCCGGUUUGGCACCGGCGGUCUCCGAUGAGUCCCCGGCAUUACCCGCUGGCAACAUCGGACAGGGGUUGCGCUCGUUGCGCCACUUAAGGCAACACCUCACGGCACGAGCUGACGACAGCCAUGCAGCACCUGUGCGGGCUCCCGAAGGAGGACCGGCUUUCACCGGCUUCACCCCGCAUGUCAAGCCCUGGUAAGGUGGGGAUGACGUGUCACAGACUAUAC